rnacentral:lncRNA from 1 species
GGCAGUCUGAUGAAGCUCUGAGACCUCUUCUCAGGAUAAUGAUUUGGAUAAAAUAAAGCAUACAGGAUUGCAAAGGAAGCUGAACAUAUUGAGAUACAGUUAUAAAAUAUUAAAGUAUCUGAUGAGCAAGUGUUAUAUGUACUUUUUUUUUUUUUAAUUUCCAUGGCAUAUGGAAGUUCCCAGGCUAGGGGUCCAAUCAAAGCUGGAGCUACCAACCUAUGCCACAGCCACAGCAACACAGGAUCUGAGCCCAUGGCAUCUGCAACCUCUACCUCAGCUCAUGGCAACAUCAGAUCCCUAACCCCCUGAGCAAAGCCAGGGAUCGAACCUGCAUCCUCGUGGCUCCUAGUCUGGUUCAUUACUGCUGAGCCACAGUGGGAACCCUAUUAUUAACACAUUGAAUAAUGACACCUAGCUGUGGGUCCACUAACAUUGUCAUUUUAAAGUAGUGAGAAGUGUACAUUACAUUAGAGAUAUCUGCAGCACCAUAAUGUGAUAUGAAAAUAUCUGAUUUCUAUUGGUGGCAAAGUCCCAGCUAUUGCUACUAAUACCAUGGCGUGUUGCUUGUAUUUGUAACGGAAAGGAAGGUCAACGGAAACUAGUGAAAACAAAGAUAUCCUUUUCCCCAUCCAGGUUCACCCACAGACUUCAGGUAAGAAUUCUUGUUCUGGGAUUGGUAGUUUCUAACCUAUUUUUCAGCCAUGGAUUUCUUUGACAGUCUAACCAAAGCUGUCUGUCUAUAGACCAACUCACAAAAAAAAAAAAAAAAAAAAAAAAAAAGGCAUUUAUCUUCGGAUACAAAAAUCAUAUCCUAUUUGUAGACCUCCUGAUGCCCAUGCAUGGAUGAUUUCCAGACCUACGGACCUCAGGUUAAGAACUCCAAUUCUAUAUGUACCAACAGUCAAGGGCACUGUAUGAUUUAGCAUUGCUUAGCUAUAAAUAAUAGCAACUAACUUGGGAACACAGGCAGUUUUACAAGACCUCUGUAAACAGAAUCUUCUGAACAGAAUCUUUUUAUCUGCAUCCCAGAUCUAGAAUGAGUAAGUUCCAUCCCUGGCCAGGCUUUCGACCCUCAACCAUCAUUUCAAUGUCUGAGUGACCUAGUCAGGUGCCCAUCCUCGUACUUGAAGAGAGCUGGGAACCUUGAUCGAAUAGCUCAGAAGAUUUGAGUUUCCUUUGUGGCUUGAUGACUUAAGGAUCUGGCAUUGGCACUGCAGUGGCUUAGGUCCCUUCUGUGGCAUGGGUUUGAUCCCUGGGCCAGGAACUUCUGCAUGCUGUGGGCGUGGCCAAAAAAGAAAAAUAUACCUCGGGAGAUUGUAUCUAAUGAAGAAGAAUAAUUUCUUAGAAAGAAUUUGAGGAACUAUUACAAAAAAAGGAUAAAAGAGAGUGAGGAAAAAAGGAAGGAAGGAAAGAAAGAAAGGAAAGAAAGGAAGAAAGAAAGAAAGGAAAGAGAAAAAGAAAAGAAAGAAAGAAAAAGAAAAAGAAAGAAGGAAAAGAAAAGAAAAAAGAAAUCACUGUAUAUUAGGCAGGCAAAAGAGUAAAUAAAUUUUAAGUCCCAUGAAUAGUGAUGAUGGGUGCUGAUUUUUAAAAAAUUAUUAUUAUAAUAAGACAUACUUUCUGGGACCACGUUAAUGUUUCUGAAAGCAGGAUAUAGCUUUUAAUAUAUGUAUACAUUGAAAGCAGCUCUCCUCCUCCUCCCCAUGCUCAAAAAAAGUAAACUGCUGUUAAAUCAAAUCAGUGUUGCAUCUUACAGCUGAGGAGACAGAAGCAAGGAACUGUGGCUUCACAGAAUCAGUCAAAGCCAUACAAGCCAGAUUCCUUGAAACUUCAGUAAGUGCUUCCAUUCCUCGGCUUUUUAUGUCGUUUCUUUUCAUCUUCGCUCCUCUAAAGCAUCCUUACUUUGUCUACUUUGGCUCUUCUCUCCCAUCAGAUGUUUACGACACUACCAAGCGCUGAGAUGAAAUCCAGUUCAAUUAAGCAGGUGUUCCCUGAACGGCAGCUCCUCGUCAAGCUCUUUUCUAGGCACUGGGAGCAUCAUGCAAAGAGGAUAAAGCAGAGCCAUUUGCUCUCCAAGAGCGGACAGCUUAGGUGUGGAGACCCCACACACACGGGAGCCAGGUAAACCGCUCACCUGGACUGCUGACCUAAGUGCUCGCCCAAGUGCUGCAGCCGGGAGUCAGGGGUUGAGAGCCAAGUGUCGGCCGAACAGUGAAGGAAGACACAGGGCUCCCAGGACCCCUCUCUGAAAGCAACGAGGCCCUGAGGAGUUGUCCUUGUCUGGUCAUCAUCCAAGAAAUUCAGAAUCUUUGGAUGAGGAGGACCACGUGCCCAGCGAGCUCCUCACGGGGGCCAACACCCACCUCUUUCAACACCCACCUCUUCACCUCGAGGUUCUCAGAUUUAAGGUCACUUCCAGACAGGUCUUUCCAGGCCUCUCAGUUUAAAACUAGGUCCUGGAGUUCCUGCUGCAGCUCAGCGGUUAACAAAUCCGACUAGGAACCAUGAGGUUGUGGGUUCGAUCCCCAGCCUUGCUCAGUGGGUUUAGGAUCUGGUGUUGCCGUGAGCUGUGGUGUAGGUCACAGACGUGGCUUGGAUCCUGCGUAGCUGUGGCCCUGGCGUAGGCUGGCAGCUGCAGCUCGGAUUCGACCCGUAGCCUGGGAACUUCCAUAUGCCGCGGGUGCAGCCCUAGAAAAGACAAAAAGACAAUAAAUUAAAUAAAUAAAUAAAUAAAACUAGGUCCUGUUACUAAACUUUUUUGUAGUACCUGGUUCUUUUUCUUCAAAACACUUAAGAUCAUUUGUAAUUGUGUGCUUAUUUUUCUCUCCACUGAUCUGUGAGCUUUUCUAGGAUGGAAAGGACUCUGUCUUUUUUUACUCACCUCUGAAUCCAGAAAAUUCAAUCCAGUGCCUGCACAUAGGCGGCACUUGGUAAAUAUGUGCGGCGUGACUGGGUUUAGCAUAGGCUAGAAACUCUACCCCUGCCUUCCGAUAAUGAUGCAGCUCAGUGGAGGUCAAGGACACAGUUGAUAGGGAACAUCUUUUGAUGUUAAAAAUGGGCCCGGCCAAGGGGACAGCUGGUGUAUGAGUCUGAGAGUUAAGGUAAUUAAGAAGCAUUGCUUUUUGGUUUGGAAUUUAAAACCUGUAAUGAAAUAUGUAUACCCUAUGGAAUAAAGGUAGUGUUCUCCUGCUCUGUUCCACCCAUGGCAACUAUUCCAAUCAUUCCACCUUUAUUUUAUUGAUUGAUUGUCUUUUUAAGGCCGCACCCACAGCAUAUGGAGAUUCCCAGGCUAGGGGUCGAGUCGGAGCUACAGCUGCCGGCCUACACCACCGCCACAGCGAUGCGGGAUCCGAGCCGCAUCUAUGACCUACACCACAGCUCAUGGCAACACCGGAUCUUUAAUCCACUGAACGAGGACAGGUAUCGAACCCGCGUCCUCGUGGAUACCAGUUGGGUUCAUUAACCACUGAGCCAUGACGGGACCUCCAUCAUUCCGCCUUUAAUGGGACUCUGGGGACCGGUGUGUUCGGGUGGUGUUCUUUCCCAAACAAACACAGAACACAAAAAAAUGAAACCCUGAAAGGAAUUAGACGAGCAUGAAGACAGCCAAGUUAAUGAAACUCUGAUUUCUCUUGACAUAGACACUUAACAUUUGCCAGCAGGGAGAAGGUGGUGGAGAAAUUAAGUGGAAAGAAUCCACCGGUGCGCCUGGCUUGAGAGUUGGCUUUGGUUGCGGCCAGCUGGGUGGAAUAGGGAUUCCUUUCCGCUCUUUAGCUGAAGACUUAAAUUUCAGAAACCGGAGGGAGUGAGCAUGAAGAUCCUGGCUGAGCUGUUCAUUAGUGCUCCAGUGUCUCUGUACAAAUGAAAGCGGAGGCCCUAAAACUUUCCUUACAUGAGAUCUUACAGCUUUAGGAAAAUGGGCAAGCCUCCCUUUACUGUAGAAGUGAGUAGGUACAAUUUUGUUCAAAAUCUCGGUUUAAAAAAUGCACCUCUGUGUGUGUGUAUAUAUAUAUAUAUAUAUAUAUAUAUAAAAUAUAAUUACCUGUGAGAAAAAGACAUUUUCAUUAUAAUCCUUGAUCCUUCUGCAGUAAUAGUCUCUGAGGAAAUUCAAAUUCCAGCUAAGUGCAUGAGGUGGGUAGGCUGGCUGCGGCGGAAAUGUAAACAUAUGAGAUGUAAUGCUACCCCACUUUUCAACGACAAGAAGUUGGAUAUUUUCCCCUCCAUUUAGGAAAAAUAUAUUUCACCACUUUUCUAGUUCUAGAAGAGUCUUUCCAGCUUCUGGGAAUUCAUAUCAGAUUUAACUUUAACACUGAGUACCUGGGGAGGGAAGCAUUGCCAAAGGAGUUGGUCAUUUGACAUGUGUUCAGCUGGGCCUUGGGUGAAUUUCUUCUGUGUGCUAGGUCUCAGUUUUCCCCUUUGUAAGACAGGGAUUGAAAACAAUAUCUCCUUGGCAUUCCCGUCGUGGCACAGUGGUUAACAAAUCCGACUAGGAACCAUGAAGAUGCGGGUUCGAUCCCCGGCCUUGCUCAGUGGGUUAAGGAUCUGGCGUUGCCGUGAACUGUGGUGUAGGUUGCAGAUGCAGCUCGGAUCCCAAGUUACUGUGGCUGUGACGUAGGCCGGCGGCCACAGCUCGGAUUGGACCCCUAGCCUGGAAACCUCCAUAUGCCACGGGAGAGGCCCUAGAAAUGGCAAAAAGACAAAAGAAAAAAGAAAAAAAA